rnacentral:rRNA from 1 species
UCGUGUCGUGAGAUGUUGGGUUAAGUCCCGCAACGAGCGCAACCCUCACCCCUUGUUGCCAUCAGGUGAUGCUGGGCACUCUAGGGGAACUGCCCCGGUCAACGGGGAGGAAGGUGGGGAUGACGUCAAGUCAUCAUGCCCCUUACGCCCUGGGCUACACACGUGCUACAAUGGCCGGUACAAAGGGAUGCAAGACCGCGAGGUGGAGCUAAACCCAGAAAGCCGGUCUAAGUUCAGAUUGGAGUCUGCAACUCGACUCCAUGAAGGAGGAAUCGCUAGUAAUCGC